rnacentral:rRNA from 1 species
CCUACGGGAGGCAGCAGUGGGGAAUUUUCCGCAAUGGGCGAAAGCCUGGCGGAGCAAUACCGCGUGAGGGAAGAAAGCCUACUGGGUUGUAAACCUCUUUUUUUCAGGGAGGAAAAAAAUGACGUGUACCUGAAGAAUAAGCAUCGGCUAACUCCGUGCCAGCAGCCGCGGUAAGACGGAGGAUGCAAGUGUUAUCCGGAAUUACUGGGCGUAAAGCGUCUGUAGGUGGUUUAAUAAGUCAACUGUUAAAUCUUGAGGCUUAACUUCGAAACAGCAGUCGAAACUAUUAGACUAGAGUAUAGUAGGGGUAAAGGGAAUUUCCAGUGGAGCGGUGAAAUGCGUAGAUAUUGGAAAGAACACCGAUGGCGAAAGCACUUUACUGGGCUAUUACUAACACUCAGAGACGAAAGCUAGGGUAGCAAAUGGGAUUAGAUACCCCAGUAGUCCUAGCUGUAAACAAUGGAUACUAGAUGUUGAACAGAUCGACCUGUGCAGUAUUAAAGCUAACGCGUUAAGUAUCCCGCCUGGGAAGUAUGCUCGCAAGAGUGAAACUCAAAAGUAGUUAGUACGGACGUGUAGACGUAGCCGAACGGACGACACGACGGGGAGGUAAGG